UACGAAGGGGGCUAGCGUUGUUCGGAAUUACUGGGCGUAAAGCGCGCGUAGGCGGUGAUCUUUGUCAGAGGUGAAAUCCCGAGGCUCAACUCCAGAACUGCCUUCGAUACUGAAGAGCUCGAGUCCGGGAGAGGUGAGUGGAACUGCGAGUGUAGAGGUGAAAUUCGUAGAUAUUCGCAAGAACACCAGUGGCGAAGGCGGCUCACUGGCCCGGUACUGACGCUGAGGUGCGAAAGCGUGGGGAGCAAACAGG
rnacentral:rRNA from 1 species